UACGUAGGGUGCAGGCGUUAAUCGGAAUUACUGGGCGUAAAGCGUGCGCAGGCGGUUUCUUAAGUCAGAUGUGAAAGCCCCGGGCUUAACCUGGGAACUGCGUUUGAAACUGGGAGACUUGAGUGUGGCAGAGGGGGGUGGAAUUCCACGUGUAGCAGUGAAAUGCGUAGAGAUGUGGAGGAAUACCGAUGGCGAAGGCAGCCUCCUGGGAUAACACUGACGCUCAUGCACGAAAGCGUGGGGAGCAAACAGG
rnacentral:rRNA from 1 species